rnacentral:tRNA from 1 species
UUAAUUGAAACCAAAAAGAGGUAAAUUAUUGUUAAUAAUUUAAUUGAAAUUAAUUUCCAAUUAAA